rnacentral:rRNA from 3 species
AGACCCGAAACCCGGUGAUCUAGCCAUGGGCAGGUUGAAGGUUGGGUAACACUAACUGGAGGACCGAACCGACUAAUGUUGAAAAAUUAGCGGAUGACCUGUGGCUGGGGGUGAAAGGCCAAUCAAACCGGGAGAUAGCUGGUUCUCCCCGAAAGCUAUUUAGGUAGCGCCUCGUGAAUUCAUCUCCGGGGGUAGAGCACUGUUUCGGCCAGGGGGCCAUCCCGGCUUACCAACCCGAUGCAAACUGCGAAUACCGGAGAAUGUUAUCACGGGAGACACACGGCGGGUGCUAACGUCCGUCGUGAAGAGGGAAACAACCCAGACCGCCAGCUAAGGUCCCAAAGUCAUGGUUAAGUGGGAAACGAUGUGGGAAGGCCCAGACAGCCAGGAUGUUGGCUUAGAAGCAGCCAUCAUUUAAAGAAAGCGUAAUAGCUCACUGGUCGAGUCGGCCUGCGCGGAAGAUG